AACGAACGCUGGCGGCGUGGAUAAGACAUGCAAGUCGAACGGGACAGACCGAGUAGCAAUAUUUGGAAUGUUCAGUGGCGAACGGGUGCGUAACACGUGGAUAACAUUCCGGAAAGCGGGGAAUAGCCCAGGGAAACUUGGAUUAAUACCGCAUGUGGCCGCAAGGCUAAAGACGGGGACCGCAAGGCCUGUCACUUUCCGAUUGGUCCGCGGCCUAUCAGCUAGUUGGCGGGGUAAUGGCCCACCAAGGCUACGACGGGUAGCUGGUCUUAGAGGACGACCAGCCACACUGGAACUGAGACACGGUCCAGACACCUACGGGUGGCAGCAGUCGAGAAUCUUUCACAAUGGGGGCAACCCUGAUGGAGCGACGCCGCGUGGUGGAUAAGGUCUUCGGAUUGUAAACUCCUGUCAUGCGAGAACAAGGUACUCAGGCUAAUAACCUGAUUGUUUGAUGGUACCGCAAGAGGAAGAGACGGCCAACUCUGUGCCAGCCGCCGCCGUAAAAC
rnacentral:rRNA from 1 species